AAUGUGAAGUAAGGUUGGCCAGCCAUGUUUUUGAAUAAUAUCACUGGCUAAACAAUUAUAAGCAUAUUUUCGUUAUUUUUUAACGCAACCCUUCCAGAUUCUUUGUUUAACCCAUAGCAACGCCCUUGACAACGAAAAUGCUUUUCUUUUUUUCGAAAACGCAAUCUUCGGAAAUGACGUCACACCUAGAAGUGCGAGCGAAGUCCGCCAUAGAACAGUAUUGUUUGUUGCAUUGUUUCUCGGUAAGAUGCCACGGCGGUGUGUGGCGAUGUUUUGUUCUCACUCUAACGAAAAGUUGUUUGAGUGGCCAAAGGAUAGCAGGGCACCUAAAUGGACAUCUUUCGUUCUCACUAGGCGAAUGAAUUUUACGCCAUCAUCGAGUAGUGUUCUCUGCUACAAACACUUUGAAGAUGCCUGCUUCCUUAACCGGUCUGCUUAUGAUCAAGGAUUUGCCAAAAAGCUCCUUCUGAAGGAUAGUGCAGUGCCAACAAUUCACCUGCCAGACACGGAUGCACUGCCACCAAAUACAUCUCAUCAAAAACAUGACUAUAGGACUUCAGUAUCAAAACCAAGGUCUGCCUAUUUAAAGAGGGAACGAUCACCUCAGCUAGAUGCUGGUUUGUCUGAGGCGUUGUUAUUGAACUGCCAAGAAGAUUUGGACAUUUCUGGGAUUGAGUCAUUGGAAUCAGCAACUGCUGAUAAGGGAUGUCAAACUGUAAAGAUAAUCCAGCAGAAACGCCGAAAAAAGGAAAAAAAGUGUUGCAAGUCAGUCGCCACCCAGUUUCCCGAAAUCAAGAAAGUGGGUCGAGGCAGAUGAUGAUACAACAUCCAGCUUCCUCUGAAUUUCCUCCAGUGAGACAUCCUUUUUCUUUGGUGGAGCCAAGGGGAAGUCACCCUUACCGUCUGGUGUCGGGGUACCGAGGAGUACCUCAAAGGCCUGGCCAGAGGCUCGCUUGUCAAGCUCCUUGACCUGGAUAUCUACCGAGGGAGGUCAAAUCAACUCAGCUAGUCAAAUAUGUCAUCAUUAUUAUAAUUUAGAAUAAUUCUGACAUAGUUACCUUCGGGGGCUGCCAUUUUGUUUUGAUUAUUCUUGUUAAUUUUCCUUAAAAGGAGAAAAUGUAGAAAAAAAAUGUUAGGACUAACUUGUUCACUGAUUGACAAAACAAGUGAAAUUUAAGCUCAAUGAUGACACCCGGUGGCCUUCCAUAAAACUGCAAUCAACCACCGCCCAUCUACAAAUAAAUAAAUAAAUAAAACAACGGUCUUGGUCCACAUGCAGUGUGUAUUUCCCCCCGAUUAUAAAAUGAAGUCGAAAGGAAUAAACAAAUAUUAGAAUUGAAAGGUGGAUGGUUAAAUGUGUGUGUUGACAGAUCGUUUGGAGCACAUGCGAAUGAUACCUAUUACACAAUAACCACGCAUAUAAGCAAUCAGUGGGCAUUUCAGAGGAACCCCUGAAUUUAAUGAAGCAACGGUUUCCCGUCAGUAAAUUACAUGUAGGUGAUGGAUGUUUGCACGCCGAUGAACGAUGUAAGGAACGGCAAUAUAAAUCAUGUACACACAUUUGUGUACAUUCAUAUGAACACUUGCCACAAAUGAUAAUCCCGGAGACCCCACCCAAUCUAAAUCGAUGUCUUAAAAAGCGAUCAAAGUUAGUUUUUAAGGAUAACAAAAGUAAUAUUUAUUUGUUGUCAUGACCUCAUUACAGAUCAUCUCUGUUGUUCGACGCCCUAGCUGCUUUCACCGGAUGGCGCGCUAUUGUGGUGCCGCAUUUACUUUUUUGUUUUUGGCAUGGCCAGAGCAACAAUGUUGGAUUAUGUUAGUCUGCUGUCCUGCUGUUACCCCCAACACCCAAACACACACGCGCACACACCCUCCGUAACACACACAUGACAGCCACCGCUCAAACAAAGACGCCUUGACAGCGCCGCGUAGAACAGCAGCCAACAAAGGAUGACACAAUUAAAAUAGUUGUUUGCUUUGCCGUGGCGAAAGUGAUGCCUUGUACAAGGUCCCAGAAGCUUAUUAUCCUCAUUCAUACAUCGACUAACAUACAAACCAAAAUGGUAUUCGUCAAAUCCACUUACACAAAGCAAUAAUAAAGCGCUACAAAUGAAGCCAUCGCAUGCCGUACGGACAAUCUCGGCGUUUUAAUAAUGCAUUGCCCACAUAACACAAAAAUAAAUAAAUACAAUGUUGACAAAAUAUGAAGGGAAUACGUGCAUCAUCUCUCCAAACAGCAUACUUACAAAUGUGUUCCGCGAGCUGUAACCAAUGUGCCUUUGCUCACACCACCUUCCAGUGUAUAUUUGACUGGACGCCUCUUGCACAUAAAUCGCACGAGUCUGGCACUGGCAGCACCCACAUUAAAACUGCAUGUCACAGCCAAUGUCGUCAUACCGUUUACACAGCCAUUGGUUGAUUCGUGUGCUCAUGCAUACACUGAAAAGAAGUACUCUGAAAUUAAUAUAAUUAAUAAUUAAAUGCUCGAACGAUCAUACAUAUUCAAAUGUUUGUAUACCUUACAUAGUUGAAGGGACUACACAGGAUUUUUAUUUUUAAUUUAAAAUAUUUUUCUGCUCAUACGUACAUAUUCCACCAAUGCCCUGAUUCAAUGGCGGUUCCUGGCAGGGUCGGUUUGGGCGGUCGCCCGGGGCUGCAAAUUGAUAGGGGCGCAUGCACGCCAGGUGCAUGCGAGUGAUUGUCUACAAUUAUAAUUGGCGCCCCUACCGUCGCAAUGACGCCCCCUGCAGACCGUAGUGACUGUCUGCACGCAACGCCACAAAUAGAAGGAGGCUUUUCAAUUUUCCCAUAGCCUUUUCAAGCUUUUUGGAGCUCAACAAUUUUUUUCACUGGUGUAUUUCGAAAACUCUCUGGUCUUACCUAUGGUAGCAGUUGGAUUAUGACUGACUGUAGGGUGCACAUGUGACAAUAUUGAGCUGAAACGGGUGGUGGGUGGGUGGUUACUAAUGGGGUAAAGGUGGACUUUACUUCAGGUAGAAUGACAACUCUUUAAGUGUCAUAAUUAUUGCUGAUUCUCAGAGGUACAAAUAGUUAUGAACCCCAGUAAACUACAAAUAAAUUUUAUAAAUUUAAAAAUAAAUAUAUAUAUUUUUUAUAGAUUAUUUCUGUUUAAGUAGAAGUGCAUAUAUGAUUGAAAUUUCAGACCUCUACCUAUUUUUUAAGUGGGUGAACUUGCAAAAUCACAAGGGGUGCAAAUACUUCUGCUCCUCACUGUAUAUAUUAGAGGUGGGAACCAACGAGGUAAUUUUGGGCCUUUACAGGUCACUUUUUGAUUUUCAGUCACUUCCUGGUGUUUUGGGUUACUGAACAGGAAGUGACCCAGGAAUGAAUAGGCAGUGAGUCAAAUUUAACAGGAAGUGACCUGUAAAUGCCCUAAAAUGAUCAGAAAGUGAACAGUAAAUGCCCAAAAAUCAGAAAGAGUGUCUGUGAAUGCACUGGUUUCGAAUGAACAAACGUUCUUUCGCCCCUCCCAGUCUUAAUGGAUUGGGCGUUCAGCACCGUCAAUGGCAGCCCCAGAGUUAAUUGAAAUACUUUUGUGGUG